GUGGGGAAUCUUCCGCAAUGGACGAAAGUCUGACGGAGCAACGCCGCGUGAGUGAUGAAGGUCUUCGGAUUGUAAAGCUCUGUUAAUCGGGACGAAAGAGCCUAGUGUGAAUAAUGCUAGGAAGUGACGGUACCGGAAUAGAAAGCCACGGCUAACUACGUGCCAGCAGCCGCGGUAAUACGUAGGUGGCAAGCGUUGUCCGGAAGUAUUGGGCGUAAAGCGCGCGCAGGCGGAUCUGCCAGUCUGUCUUAAAAGUUCGGGGCUUAACCCCGGGAUGGGAUGGAAACUACAGAUCUAGAGUAUCGGAGAGGAAAGUGGAAUUCCUAGUGUAGCGGUGAAAUGCGUAGAUAUUAGGAAGAACACCAGUGGCGAAGGCGACUUUCUGGACGAAAACUGACGCUGAGGCGCGAAAGCCAGGGGAGCGAACGGGAUUAGAUACCCGUGUAGUCC
rnacentral:rRNA from 1 species